rnacentral:rRNA from 1 species
UACAGAGGUCUCAAGCGUUGUUCGGAUUCAUUGGGCAUAAAGGGUGCGUAGGUGGCGCGCUAAGUCAGGUGUGAAAUCUCGGGGCUUAACUCCGAAACUGCAUUUGAUACUGGCGUGCUUGAGGACUGGAGAGGAGACUGGAAUUCAUGGUGUAGCAGUGAAAUGCGUAGAGAUCAUGAGGAAGACCAGUGGCGAAGGCGGGUCUCUGGACAGUUCCUGACACUGAGACACGAAGGCCAGGGGAGCAAACGGG